UACGUAGGGUGCAAGCGUUGUCCGGAAUCAUUGGGUUUAAAGGGUCCGUAGGCGGUUUGGUAAGUCAGUGGUGAAAGCCCAUCGCUCAACGGUGGAACGGCCAUUGAUACUGCCAGACUUGAAUUAUUAGGAAGUAACUAGAAUAUGUAGUGUAGCGGUGAAAUGCUUAGAGAUUACAUGGAAUACCAAUUGCGAAGGCAGGUUACUACUAAUGGAUUGACGCUGAUGGACGAAAGCGUGGGUAGCGAACAGG
rnacentral:rRNA from 1 species